rnacentral:rRNA from 1 species
ACAGAGGGUGCGAGCGUUGUCCGGAAUCACUGGGCGUAAAGGGCGCGUAGGUGGCGGGAUAAGUGUGUGGUGAAAGCUCGGGGCUCAACCCCGAGUCUGCCAUGCAGACUGUCUUGCUUGAGCGUAGUAGAGGCAGGUGGAAUUCCGGGUGUAGCGGUGGAAUGCGUAGAGAUCCGGAAGAACACCGGUGGCGAAGGCGGCCUGCUGGGCUACUGCUGACACUGAGGCGCGACAGCGUGGGGAGCAAACAGGAUUAGAUACCCUGGUAGUCCACGCCGUAAACGAUGGGUACUAGGUGUCUGGGGGAGCGACCCCCUGGGUGCCGGCGCUAACGCAUGAAGUACCCCGCCUGGGGAGUACGGCCGCAAGGCUG